AAAACCAAUCAACUCGCCGGUACC
rnacentral:snRNA from 1 species